UACGUAGGUGGCAAGCGUUGUCCGGAUUUACUGGGCGUAAAGAGCGCGCAGGCGGUCGAUUAAGUCGAAUGUGAAAGCCCCCGGCUUAACUGGGGAGGGUCAUUCGAUACUGAUCGACUUGAAGGCAGGAGAGGGAAGCAGAAUUCCCGGUGUAGUGGUGAAAUGCGUAGAUAUCGGGAGGAAUACCAGUGGCGAAGGCGGCUUCCUGGCCUGUUCUUGACGCUGAGGCGCGAAAGCUGGGGGAGCAAACGGG
rnacentral:rRNA from 1 species